rnacentral:rRNA from 1 species
UGCCUCUUGUGAUCAAUAAAAGGUACUUCCUGCCCAGUGAAUUCUUCAACGGCCGCGGUAUCCUAACCGUGCAAAGGUAGCAUAAUCACUUGCCCAUUAAUUGUGGGCUAGAAUGAAAGGAUAAACGAGGACACAGCUGUCCCAUGUAAGCACCUAAAACUUAAUCUCCGAGUGAAGAAGCUCGGAUAAACUCGCAGGACAAGAAGACCCUAUAGAGCUUUACCUAUUUUAACACCUUAAAAGUGUCAGUACGGUUCGGUUGGGGCGACCUGGGGCUACUUAUCACCCCCACAAACAAAUGAUUUACUAAUCUUUCAUAAGAUCCUAACUCAUAGAUCAAAGAAUCAAGCUACCUUAGGGAUAACAGGCUAAUUCUCCUAGAGAGCCCUUAUCGACAGGAGAGGUUGGCACCUCGAUGUUGGCUUAGGAUUUCUUCAUGAAGCAGCUAUCAUGAUCAGACGGUUUGUUCAACCAUUAAUAUCCU